CCAAUAGCGUAUAUUAAAGUUGUUGCAGUUAAAAAGCUCGUAGUUGAACUUCGGGGUCUACCCAUUGGUCAGGCUUAAUUGUCUGCACUGGUGAGAUGGAUCUCUACCUUCUGAGGAACUUUCAUGCCAUUUAUUUGGUGUGAUGGGAAAUCAGGACUGUUACUUUGAAAAAAUUAGAGUGUUUAAAGCAGACUAUCGUCUGAAUACAUUAGCAUGGAAUAAUGAAAUAGGACGGACUGAUUCUAUUUCGUUGGUUUCUAGGAUCACCGUAAUGAUUAAUAGGGAUAGUUGGGGGCAUUAGUAUUCAAUUGUCAGGGGUGAAAUUCUUGGAUUUAUUGAAGACUAACUACUGCGAAAGCAUUUGCCAAGGAUGUUUUCAUUAAUCAAGAACGAAAGUUAGGGCAUCGAAGACGAUCAGAUACCGUCGUAGUCUUAACCAUAAACUAUGCCGACUAGGGAUCGGAUGAUGUUAAUUUUUUAAGGACUCAUUCGGCGCCUUACG
rnacentral:rRNA from 1 species